rnacentral:tRNA from 1 species
CAUUAGAUGACUGAAGGCAAGUAAUGGUCUCUUAAACCAAAAUAUAGUAAAUUAGCAUUUACUUCUAAUG